rnacentral:tRNA from 1 species
GCUCCUACGUUUCGUGGUUAAGACGUCGGGUUUUCAUCCCGAAAACCGGAGUUCGAGUCUCCGUGGGAGUACCA